GAUGAACGCUGGCGGCGUGCCUAAUACAUGCAAGUCGAGCGAACAGACGAGGAGCUUGCUCCUCUGACGUUAGCGGCGGACGGGUGAGUAACACGUGGAUAACCUACCUAUAAGACUGGGAUAACUUCGGGAAACCGGAGCUAAUACCGGAUAAUAUAUUGAACCGCAUGGUUCAAUAGUGAAAGACGGUUUUGCUGUCACUUAUAGAUGGAUCCGCGCCGCAUUAGCUAGUUGGUAAGGUAACGGCUUACCAAGGCAACGAUGCGUAGCCGACCUGAGAGGGUGAUCGGCCACACUGGAACUGAGACACGGUCCAGACUCCUACGGGAGGCAGCAGUAGCGCAUCUUCCGCAAUGGGCGAAAGCCUGACGGAGCAACGCCGAGUGAGUGAUGAAGGUCUUCGGAUCGUAAAACUCUGUUAUUAGGGAAGAACAAAUGUGUAAGUAACUAUGCACGUCUUGACGGUACCUAAUCAGAAAGCAACGGCUAACUCCGUG
rnacentral:rRNA from 1 species